rnacentral:lncRNA from 1 species
AAUCUAAGGGCUGCCCAACUAUGAGACUUUAUAAGUCUCAACCCUUAUGUAGUACCAUUAGUUGGUAUAUUCAAUCAUAGCAAUUAUUAUACCCAUUUUAUAGAAAAGCACACUGAGAUGUAAAGAGGUAAAGUAAUACCUCACAGUGCAAGUUUGAAUAUUUCUUAAGUGAUAUUCAUACUGAAGUUUACCUGAUAACAACAUCAUUUUCUUAAAUACAAUACUGCCCAUGCCAGUGGAAAUUAUAAAACCCUCAAAAACUCUCAAACAGUUCAAAAUAGCAAUAUAAUCUUAAGUCACAAAAUGAUAGGGAUUUAGAAUAACAUAACAUAUUUCAUAUAAUACCUGGAGAUAAGGAUGUGGCGUUGCAUAGAGGUAGACAAACCAAAUAAUAUCAAGAUUUUUCAAUAAUGUUGUCUUUUAUUACUUUAGGAACAAAUUGACAACCACAAAUUACAGGCUAAGAAGAAUAAGCAGUUCAUUUUAGCAUUGUCAUUUAAUAAAACUAACAAUUUUGUCACAUUAAAAUAUACGUUACUUCUGUUGUAUUUGGCCAUACAUUGAUGGGUGUAUGGUUAUAUUUAGUAUUGCAAUGGUUACAUUUAGUAUUACUUUUAUAGAAAAAAAAUAGAACUUUUUUCCCCCAUUGUUUAGUCCACUGGUACUAAUAACUUGUCUCAUCAUGAAUAAUUUUCCCUGAUGCUGCGUUCUUUUUCUUUGUUAUCAUCAACAUGUAUAUGAUCACACUCAGAUUCUAGAUCUUACUCCCAGUAAGGUUCUCUUGUCCUUGAUCUUGGCUUUCUUUUCCUUGAGCAGGCCUGGGGCUUUUUGUACCCCAUGCUAAUGCUUCAAGCUGCCUGGUCUUCUACUGAGUUGGAGCAUGCCCAAUAUUGUGAUGCAGGCAUAAUUUCAAAUAUUCUUUCAGGUUUUUUUUAGAUUAUGGGUCAGCCCAUGGAUCUCGUGCAGAAAACUAGAGUCACCAUAUCAGAUUGGUUUAGUCCUAGAGAACUAGAUGAUCAGGAACCUUAGAAGCUGAGCUUCCCUAAGGAAUAAUGUUGUAAGGAAAGCCCGUUACCCUUUUUGAGGGAAUUGGGUUGCCCUAUACUGGGAUAGUGGCCUCAGGAAGGGUAAAGGGCUCAGUCAGAGGGAGCCCUGCACCCUGAGUCUGGCCAUGCAGGAGCGGAAAGUUUUCUGAAAAAAUAAGAGAUUCACAGCAACCAAUCAAAAGAAGCCCAGUCCACCUAAGCCAGCAUGUAAAGCAGUCUCCACUGCUUUAACCCGUAAAGGAAAGUAACCUGUAGUAAAAUAAAGGAAAGUAACCUGAGGUAACCUGAUGUUAACCAAUCCAGUUUUUGCAUUAGGCUGUUGCCUUGUUCCCGCUCAAGCUACCUUACAAAAACUGACUGUUCUGCCAUCUCCAAUGGAGCUCCGUAUUAUUAACCUUGGUUUAUGGGUGAAGAAGCUGAGGCUCAGAGUGAUGAGAUAACCUCUCCUUGCGUGUUAGCUUGCUAUCGCUGGUUCUGUGACGCAAUGUCCAUCUUCUUACUCUGCUCAUAACUUGGGUGAUAUCAAGGCAGGGGAGUGAAACAUCUGCCCUUCAAAGACCACAAAGGAAGCUAUCAUGUUCUUGAUGACAGCACAAGUGGCAGUGGAGAAAGUGAGGAGCUGCCCCAGCCUGUGGAAUCACAAUGUUAAGUAUCAGAGGUUAAGAAUACAUUUCAUUGCUUUUGGUAUAGAAGUUGUUGGUUUUGUCAAUUUUGGCUUCCCAGCUGACUUUUUAUUCUAUGUAAAGAAUUUGUCUUUUGUACAGAGCUUGCAUGCAUUUUCAAUUGCUGAAUUUGCACACUUAGUUGAUAACACUGAAAAUGAUCCAUCUAUGUAAAACAGCAAAAGUCAACCCAUGUUCACAUUCACAGCUGAAAUUAUACCUCUUCUCAAAUUAUGCCUAUUGUCCCAUCAUUCAUACACAAUUAUGUGCUACUCUUUAUUCUGGUAUGACAGAUUUUAUUUAUCUUUGGGUUGCACCUCUUGAAAAUUGUUUUUAAUGUAACAAUAGCU